rnacentral:rRNA from 1 species
UCAAGAAACUUCCACAAUGGGCGAAAGCCUGAUGGAGCGACGUCGCGUGAUGGACGAAGUGCUUCGGCACGUAAACAUCUUUUAUGUGGGAUGAAAUUAUUGACAGUACCACAUGAAUAAGGGGCUCCUAACUCUGUGCCAGCAGGAGCGGUAAUACAGAGGCCCCAAGCGUUAUCCGGAAUCACUGGGCGUAAAGGGUGUCGAGGCGGUUGUAUUAGUCGUUCGUAAAAUCUACGAGCUUAACUUGUAGGCGGCGAACGAAACGGUACGACUUGAGGUUUGGAGAGGUGCGUGGAACUCACGGUGUAGGGGUGAAAUCCGUUGAUAUCGUGGGGAACACCAAAGGCGAAGGCAGCGCACUGGCCAAAAUCUGACGCUCACACACGAAAGCUAGGGUAGCGAAGAGGAUUAGAUACCCCGUAGUCCCUGAGCGGGCUGGCAAGGCGCAU